CCCAGGGCUACCCUUUUUGGGGUUUGGGGCGCAGCCUCGAGCUGUUGCUAAGGCUUCCCCUCUCUAACUGGGGCUGGCUUAGCCCAAAGUAAUCUGCUUCCCCAGGUGAGCGCCUGCGGGGGGAAGAGGGGCAGGCAGGUGGGGAGGCUGUGGCCCUGGGGAAGCUGCACGGGCCACGCUGGCAGCCCCCAGUGGCAGGAGGGUGCAGACCUCCCUUCCAGCUGGGGAGGAACAGCCUCGGGGCUGCUGGUGCUGGUGGGGCCUCGGCGGAGCCUGCAGGCAGGUGCUUGGCAGCAGCAGUUCACGGCCAGACCCCGCCUCCCAGUUGCAUGCCUGACCUUUGAGGGCACUCAGGUGUCUGGAGGGCAGGGGGUUCCACUGACUAGGGUGAAUGAAGCGCACCUGUUUGUAUAAAGACAACACGUGUGC
rnacentral:lncRNA from 1 species